rnacentral:lncRNA from 15 species
AGUGAGAUAAAUAAAUAUUGUCUCAUCACUGCUGAUAUGUUUUCAAGAUGCAAUAGCAGUUGCAAAGGUGCUGGUCAGCGGAAAAAAUGCAACAAUCUCUUGUGAUAACGAUACACCUUUCCUAAGCGUAGCGAUGAAAAGUGUAGGCAAGUAUUAAAGUAAUAAUAAGGAAUAAAGGGGAAUGGGGUAAAUAGUACAGUUAAUACAUAAAUUAGAUGAAUCUAUCUCAUCAAAUUAGAUAAACAUGCAAAUAAAAUAAACAAUGUUGGGCUAGACUGCAACAACUGGAAGCUAGUGUAGAGGUAUGUGUGACGCCAUAUUUUGCAAAUAGUAUAAAGACUCGAAAGGUCUAGUAUAUUUACGUGUAUAAACUCGAAGGAACCGAUUCUGUUAAAAGAGUCAGUCUUUCUUCUAAAGUCUACUUAAUGUUUUUAUUUCAGUUAAAUAGUAUGUUUUUUCACACCUAGUUUUUUUUUUGUUUAGUUAUGUAUAUGUAUUUGAGAUACUACUAUCCACAUUGCAGGAAGCAGGAAACAUCACUGCAGAUCACACCAUGGACACAACCUGUUCCAACUUCUCCCCUCUGAUGGCUUCCACCAUGAACUCCACCGGGGAGCUCCGACUUUUCUUUCCCAUCUUCACCGCAGUUAAGAGCCAACCUUCACUUCGAAUUCCCCCCAACGGUAAGGAGUUUUAAUAAGUUAUUCAUACUGGCCAGCCCAAGUUAGUCUCUAUCCCUGUUAGCGGAGGCGAAUUGAUUAGGUGUGCUCACCAGUUCCAGACUGGUUUUCUGGAGCAAUAAACAGUGGGUCGUUUUGAUGACCGGAAGUCACGCAGUGAGGAAACCUUAGGUUUAUAAGUCUGAGCAGCAUCUUGAUAUGCCACACCUGUGAGGUGGAUGGAUUAUCUCGGCAAAGGAGAAGUGCUCACUAUCACAGAUUUUGACAGAUUUGUGAACAAUAUUUGAGAGAAAUAGGCCAUUUGUGUACAUAGAGAAAGUCUUUGAGUUCAGCUCAUGAU